CCCAGACUCCUACGGGAGGCAGCAGUGGGGAAUAUUGCACAAUGGGGGAAACCCUGAUGCAGCGACGCCGCGUGAGUGAAGAAGUAUUUCGGUAUGUAAAGCUCUAUCAGUAGGGAAGAAAAUGACGGUACCUGACUAAGAAGCCCCGGCUAACUACGUGCCAGCAGCCGCGGUAAUACGUAGGGGGCAAGCGUUAUCCGGAUUUACUGGGUGUAAAGGGAGCGUAGACGGCGACGCAAGUCUGGAGUGAAAGCCCGGGGCCCAACCCCGGGACUGCUCUGGAAACUGCGUCGCUGGAGUACGGGAGGGGCAGGCGGAAUUCCUGGUGUAGCGGUGAAAUGCGUAGAUAUCAGGAGGAACACCGGCGGCGAAGGCGGCCUGCUGGACCGUGACUGACGUUGAGGCUCGAGAGCGUGGAGAGCAAACAGGAUUAGAUACCCGGGUAA
rnacentral:rRNA from 1 species